rnacentral:rRNA from 1 species
AUUGAACGUUGGCGGCAGGCUUAACACAUGCAAGUCGAACGAGAAGUCCUUUCGGGGAUGAGUACAGUGGCGGACGGGUGAGUAACGCGUAGGAAUCUAACUGAUAGUGGGGGAUAACUCGGGGAAACCCGAGCUAAUACCGCAUACGCUCUACGGAGGAAAGAGGGCAUCUAUUUAUAAGCUCUCGUUAUCAGAGGAGCCUGCGGUGGAUUAGCUAGUUGGUAGGGUAAAGGCCUACCAAGGCGACGAUCCAUAGCUGGGCUGAGAGGACGAUCAGCCACACUGGAACUGAGACACGGUCCAGACUCCUACGGGAGGCAGCAGUGGGGAAUCUUGGGCAAUGGGCGAAAGCCUGACCCAGCCAUGCCGCGUGUGCGAAGAAGGCCUUCGGGUUGUAAAGCACUUUCAGUAGCGAAGAAAAGCCAGGGGCUAAUACCCUCAGGUCUUGACGUUAGCUACAGAAGAAGCACCGGCUAACUCCGUGCCAGCCGCCGCCGUAACAC